rnacentral:rRNA from 1 species
CAGCCGCCGCGGUAAUACGAAGGGGGCUAGCGUUGUUCGGAUUUACUGGGCGUAAAGCGCACGUAGGCGGACUUUUAAGUCAGGGGUGAAAUCCCGGGGCUCAACCCCGGAACUGCCUUUGAUACUGGAAGUCUUGAGUAUGGUAGAGGUGAGUGGAAUUCCGAGUGUAGAGGUGAAAUUCGUAGAUAUUCGGAGGAACACCAGUGGCGAAGGCGGCUCACUGGACCAUUACUGACGCUGAGGUGCGAAAGCGUGGGGAGCAAACAGGAUUAGAUACCCCAGUAGUCCCUGUCUCUUAUAA